UACGGGGGGAGCAAGCGUUGUUCGGAUUUACUGGGCGUAAAGGGCGCGUAGGCGGCGCAACAAGUCACUUGUGAAAUCUCCGGGCUUAACCCGGAGCGGUCAAGUGAUACUGUCGUGCUAGAGUAGGCGGAAGGGGCUACUGGAAUUCUCGGUGUAAGCGGUGAAAUGCGUAGAUAUCGAGAGGGAACACCUGGCGGCGAAGGCGGGUAGCUGGGCCGACACUGAACGCUGGAUGCGCGAAAGCCGUGGGGAGCAAACAGG
rnacentral:rRNA from 1 species